CGUCUAUAUACGUAUAGCAUAUCAAUAAGCGGAGGAAAAGAAACUAACAAGGAUUCCCUUAGUAACGGCGAGUGAAGCGGGAAGAGCUCAAAUUUGAAAUCUUCAAGGUUCUACCUUGACGAAUUGUAGUUUAUAGAAGUGUUUUCUGUUAGUGGAGUGGCAAAAGUUCUUUGGAAUAGGACAUCAUAGAGGGUGAGAAUCCCGUAUUUGGUCAUUCCUCCUAGCGUUGUGAUACACUUUCAACGAGUCGGAUUGUUUGGGAAUGCAGUCCAAAAUGGGUGGUAAAUUUCAUCUAAAGCUAAAUAUUGGCGAGAGACCGAUAGCGAACAAGUACCGUGAGGGAAAGAUGAAAAGAACUUUGAAAAGAGAGUUAAACAGUACGUGAAAUUGUCAAAAGGGAAGCGUUUGACACCAGUGUUGUUUUUCCGAAAAUCAAUUACGAAUGUUUUAUUUUUGAGAAGUUAUGACUUCAUCGGCUUGCUCCUUUCUUUAUGAAACUUUCUUAAUGCACUUUUCGGUUAACAAGUCAACAUCAAUUUCUUUUGUUGUAAAAGGGUAUGAGGAAGGUGGCUUUCUUUUCGGAGAAAGUGUUUAUAGCCUUGUGCCUCUGCAAUCGGAGAGAUUGAGGUCUGCAGCGUAGAUCCUUCGGGGUUAGAUACGUUUGUGCUAAGUUAUAGCUUUUCAUAGACAACUUGUUGACUAUGUUUAGUCUUGUAGCUUACUCGCUUAUGCUAUUUUACCUACGCUUAGGAUGUUGAUAUGCAUGACUGAUAU
rnacentral:rRNA from 1 species